rnacentral:lncRNA from 10 species
UUAUCAUAUGGCAGGGUAGUUAUAAAAGUGAGGCCAGCCCCUGAUGUUCUGCUCUCUUGCAUAUGCUUGCUCUCCCUUCUGCUCUUUUGCCACGGGAUAUUGCAGCAUGAAAGCUCUCACCAGAUAUAAGCACCGUGCUUUUGGAAUUCUCAGCCCCCAAAAUGGAGUCUCCUAUUAACUUAAUGGAACCCUGCAGCUGUGAAGAAUACUGGGGAGUCUUGGCAACAUCACCAGCACAGCAGCCUUGGCUAACUUCCUGAAUUAGGCCUUUUCUUUGCAGUGCUAUAAUAAAACCAUGGUGCUGAUUUAUGAUGAACGUGGAGAUGUACCACCUAGAUUUCUCUUCAAGGAAGGACUUGUUUCCUCUGCUGAUGGAAUUCCUGUCAACAGAGACCUUUCAGGUGCCAGUGACUUGGAGAAGGCCUGAGCUGUAGAGCAACAUCACCUAAGGUCACGCCCUACGUGAGUCAGCAGAAUCCACUGACUGAUGGAGAUUAUAAAGACUUAGCCAUUUUGUCUCAAUGAGGUGUACCUACAAUGGGUCAUAUGAGCUCCACAGCUCCCUGUGGAGUCAGCUCAGACUGUUGUUGACUUACAUUGUACCUCAACUUCUCUCUCUGCCAAAUCUAGCUCCCUUUACCUCACAAUCAUAGGCGUUCAUCCCAAAGACAUCCCUUAAUAUAAAUAAUGCACAAUAUACUCUAUAUGUUAAUCUGUUCCACAUUAAUUUUUUUAUGUAAAUCUGUGUGUGUGUGUGUGUGUGUGUGUGUGUGUGUGUGUGUGUGUGUGGCAGAAAAGCAUAAAAAUCAUCCCUCUAAACUUUUAUUUAUAUAACUGGUCUCCAA